UACCUGCAGUCGACGGCAGCACAAAGGAGCUUGCUCCUUGGGUGGCGAGUGGCGGACGGGUGAGGAAUACAUCGGAAUCUACUUUUUCGUGGGGGAUAACGUAGGGAAACUUACGCUAAUACCGCAUACGACCUACGGGUGAAAGCAGGGGAUCUUCGGACCUUGCGCGAUUGAAUGAGCCGAUGUCGGAUUAGCUAGUUGGCGGGGUAAAGGCCCACCAAGGCGACGAUCCGUAGCUGGUCUGAGAGGAUGAUCAGCCACACUGGAACUGAGACACGGUCCAGACUCCUACGGGAGGCAGCAGUGGGGAAUAUUGGACAAUGGGCGCAAGCCUGAUCCAGCCAUACCGCGUGGGUGAAGAAGGCCUUCGGGUUGUAAAGCCCUUUUGUUGGGAAAGAAAUCCAGCCGGCUAAUACCUGGUUGGGAUGACGGUACCCAAAGAAUAAGCACCGGCUAACUUCGUGCCAGCAGCCGCGGUAAUACGAAGGGUGCAAGCGUUACUCGGAAUUACUGGGCGUAAAGCGUGCGUAGGUGGUUGUUUAAGUCUGUUGUGAAAGCCCUGGGCUCAACCUGGGAACUGCAGUGGAAACUGGACGACUAGAGUGUGGUAGAGGGUAGCGGAAUUCCUGGUGUAGCAGUGAAAUGCGUANAGAUCAGGAGGAACAUCCAUGGCGAAGGCAGCUACCUGGACCAACACUGACACUGAGGCACGAAAGCGUGGGGAGCAAACAGGAUUAAAUACCCUGGUAGUCCACGCCCCUAAACGAUGCGAACUGGAUGUUGGGUGCAAUUUGCCACGCAGUAUCGAAGCUAACGCGUUAAGUUCGCCGCCUGGGGAGUACGGUCCCAA
rnacentral:rRNA from 1 species